CGAAGCGCUUUAACGGAAUUCUUCGGAAGGAAGAUAAAGUGACUGAGCGGCGGACGGGUGAGUAACGCGUGGGUAACCUGCCUCAUACAGGGGGAUAACAGUUAGAAAUGGCUGCUAAUACCGCAUAAGCGCACAGGACCGCAUGGUCUGGUGCGAAAAACUCCGGUGGUAUGAGAUGGACCCGCGUUGGAUUAGGUUGUUGGUGGGGUAACGGCCUACCAAGCCGACGAUCCAUAGCCGGCCUGAGAGGGUGAACGGCCACAUUGGGACUGAGACACGGCCCAGACUCCUACGGGAGGCAGCAGUAGGGAAUAUUGCACAAUGGGGGAAACCCUGAUGCAGCGACGCCGCGUGAAGGAAGAAGUAUCUCGGUAUGUAAACUUCUAUCAGCAGGGAAGACAAUGACGGUACCUGACUAAGAAGCCCCGGCUAACUACGUGCCAGCAGCCGCGGUAAUACGUAGGGGGCAAGCGUUAUCCGGAUUUACUGGGUGUAAAGGGAGCGUAGACGGACGGGCAAGUCUGAAGUGAAAGGCAGGGGCUCAACUCCUGGACUGCUUUGGAAACUGUCCAUCUAGAGUGCCGGAGAGGUAAGCGGAAUUCCUAGUGUAGCGGUGAAAUGCGUAGAUAUUAGGAGGAACACCAGUGGCGAAGGCGGCUU
rnacentral:rRNA from 1 species